rnacentral:rRNA from 1 species
GGCCUAACACAUGCAAGUCGAGGGGUAUAUUUCUUCGGAGAUAGAGACCGGCGCACGGGUGCGUAACGCGUAUGCAAUCUGCCUUUCACAGAGGGAUAGCCCAGAGAAAUUUGGAUUAAUACCUCAUAGUAUUACAGGAUGGCAUCGUCCAGUAAUUAAAGUCACAACGGUGAAAGAUGAGCAUGCGUCCCAUUAGCUAGUUGGUAAGGUAACGGCUUACCAAGGCAACGAUGGGUAGGGGUCCUGAGAGGGAGAUCCCCCACACUGGUACUGAGACACGGACCAGACUCCUACGGGAGGCAGCAGUGAGGAAUAUUGGUCAAUGGGCGCAAGCCUGAACCAGCCAUGCCGCGUGCAGGAUGACGGUCCUAUGGAUUGUAAACUGCUUUUAUACGAGAAGAAACAUCCCGACGUGUCGGGACUUGACGGUAUCGUAAGAAUAAGGAUCGG